UGGGGAAUUUUGGACAAUGGGCGCAAGCCUGAUCCAGCAAUGCCGCGUGCAGGAUGAAGGCCUUCGGGUUGUAAACUGCUUUUGUACGGAACGAAACGGCUCUGGUUAAUACCUGGGGCUAAUGACGGUACCGUAAAAAUAAGCACCGGCUAACUACGUGCCAGCAGCCGCGGUAAUACGUAGGGUGCGAGCGUUAAUCGGAAUUACUGGGCGUAAAGCGUGCGCAGGCGGUGAUGUAAGACAGAUGUGAAAUCCCCGGGCUCAACCUGGGAACUGCGUUUGUGACUGCAUCACUCGAGUACGGCAGAGGGAGGUGGAAUUCCGCGUGUAGCAGUGAAAUGCGUAGAUAUGCGGAGGAACACCGAUGGCGAAGGCAAUCCCCUGGGCCUGUACUGACGCUCAUGCACGAAAGCGUGGGGAGCAAACA
rnacentral:rRNA from 1 species